rnacentral:rRNA from 1 species
GAUGAACGCUGGCGGCGUGCCUAAUACAUGCAAGUCGAGCGAACGGACGAGAAGCUUGCUUCUCUGAUGUUAGCGGCGGACGGGUGAGUAACACGUGGAUAACCUACCUAUAAGACUGGGAUAACUUCGGGAAACCGUAGCUAAUACCGGAUAAUAUUUUGAACCGCAUGGUUCAAAAGUGAAAGACGGUCUUGCUGUCACUUAUGGAUGGAUCCGCGCUGCAUUAGCUAGUUGGUAAGGUAACGGCUUACCGAGGCAACGAUGCAUAGCCGACCUGAGAGGGUGAUCGGCCACACUGGAACUGAGACACGGUCCAGACUCCUACGGGAGGCAGCAGUAGGGAAUCUUCCGCAAUGGGCGAAAGCCUGACGGAGCAACGCCGCGUGAGUGAUGAAGGUCUUCGGAUCGUAAAACUCUGUUAUUAGGGAAGAACAUAUGUGUAAGUAACUGUGCACAUCUUGACGGUACCUAAUCAGAAAGCCACGGCUAACUACGUG